AAAUCAAAGAGGAGGUCCAUAUUCAUUGAGCCUGCCUAAAUUACAAAGUUAAAAUACAAAUUUACCCCUUUUGUUUAAAAGCCUAAUCAAAAUUAGAUCUCUCUCAUCGAUCUCUCUUUGCUGGAAGUUGAGGUCAGCCUGACGGAGUUUAGGUCCUCGACCUCGCCGACUCCAUAGCCUCCUCAUCUCUCUUCGGCCUCUCCUUGUCGGAGAUCAAGAUAAAUGAGAUGGCAGUAGGCAGAGUUUUUGUUCCUAACAAGACGUUGGUCUCCUCUCCCAAGUUUCCAACACGUUGUUUUCCUCUCCCAAGUUCCCAACAAACAAAAAGGCGUGCUCUCCUCUCCCAAGUAACCAAGUUUUCAACAUUCAUUUUCAAAAAUUGAUUAUUUUUUCUUUGCCCAAAUUGAUUAUUUUUUUCUUUGCCCAAAUUGUUUCUUCACUUGUUCUUUACAACUUAUUCUUUCCUUUGCCAAGGCCAAACUGUGUGCUCUCUCUGAUCCUAUCCACUCCACGCCACACCAUCUCUCUCAUAUUACAAAGUACUUGGAAUUUGAAGCCAUGAUAUGAUUGCAAGAAGAAACAAAGAAAAUUAGGAGGUGAAUCCCUAAUUUGUCAAUGCUUUCCAUAUAUUAUUUGUGUAGUUAUUUUAAUAAACAUUUUUUUCAUAUAUUAUUUUUGUAGUUAUUUUACCAGACUUUUUUGCUGGUUGAUGAUUGUGCGUGCUUGAGUUCUUGAUUGCAUCUUGUUGAUGUUUGUACCUGCUUUAGUUUUUUUAUCUUCAAUUUUUUUUUGGUUUGCAAAAGACAAUUUAGUGACUAUGAGUAUGUGAAAAUAGAUGUAAUUGAUGCCACUAAAGAUGAUUUUUGUUUAAUUUAUGGAUUUUAAAAUUUUAAAAUUUGUUAUUUUACUUGUACGUAUAAGGCCUCAUCAUUUUUCUUUGCACAUAAGACAUAAAGUAGGAUAGAUUAAUACUAAACAAUUUAAUUGUUUUGUUAUUUGCAGAAUAGAUAACAAAUUUUUUUGAGAGCGUAGGAACCAAUAAAGUAUGUUCCAAUGUCAGAGAAUGAGUUAAAUCAACACUUCCAGCACUAGUGAUUGGAGAGGGCACACCAUUGGCAUUAGCAACAGUAGCACAAGCAAGAGAACGAUGAUUGUGAAUGAGAGACGCAUUAAACGUCAUAUGAUCAAUAGCUCCAGCAUCAAGAAUCCAACCACAGUCCUUUUGAGAAUCAGUAGCAAAGAGAGCUGGACCAAUAUUACUUGAUUGUUGGAGAAUGACAGUAUCUACCACAGAAAGAGUAAAAGUGACGGACAAUAAGAUGUGUCAGUUCAAUGGCACAAACGGUGGUUUUUCCCUCUUUUCGGCUAGGGGAGGUGUCAUGGCCCUCGCGAGCCCUUCGCUCUUUAUAGCUAUCCCACCACUUAGGGUAUCCAUUUUUCUAAAAUACUGCUUUACAGCAUGGCAAGUACUGCAACAGUGAGUACACUUCCCAGUAGUAGAACCAUGAUAUGAGUAUUGAGUCAACGACUGAUUCCAACCACAGUCCUUUUGAGAAUCAGUAGCAAAGAGAGCUGGACCAAUAUUACUUGAUUGUUGGAGAAGGGCAGUAUCUACCACAGAAAGAGUAAAAGUGACGGACAAUAAGAUGUGUCAGUUCAAUGGCACAAACGGUGGUUUUUCCCUCUUUCCGGCUAGAGGAGGUGUCAUGGCCCUCGCGGGCCCUUCGCUCUUUAUAGCUAUCCCACCACUUAGGGUAUCCAUUUUUCUAAAAUACUGCUUUACAGAAUGGCAAGUACUGCAACAGUGAGUACACUUCCCAGUAGUAGAACCAUGAUAUGAGUAUUGAGUCAACGACUGAUUCCCAUGUUUCUUGACAGCUAUAGCCAAACUGGAAGCACUACCCAGAUUAAGCAUGGUAUUGCG
rnacentral:lncRNA from 1 species